rnacentral:tRNA from 1 species
AGAGGUCUUAGCUUAAUUAAAGUGUCUGAGUUGCAGUCAGGAGUUGUAUUUGUGUUUUACAGGCCUU